rnacentral:rRNA from 1 species
CCUACGGGUGGCAGCAGUGGGGAAUAUUGGGCAAUGGGCGCAAGUCUGACCCAGCAACGCCGCGUGAAUGAAGAAGGCCCUCGGGUUGUAAACUUCUUUUAUCAAGGACGAAACAAAUGACGGUACUUGAUGAAUAAGCCACGGCUAACUACGUGCCAGCAGCCGCGGUAAUACGUAGGUGGCAAGCGUUAUCCGGAUUUACUGGGUGUAAAGGGCGUGUAGGCGGGACUGCAAGUCAGAUGUGAAAACCAUGGGCUGAACCCAGGGGCUGCAUUUGAAACUGCAGUUCUUGAGUGUAGGAGAGGAAGGCGGAAUUCCGAGUGUAGCGGUGAAAUGCGUAGAUAUAAGGAGGAACAUCAGUGGCGAAGGCGACUUGCUGGACAAUAACUGACGCUGAGGCGCGAAAGCGUGGGGAGCAAACAGGAUUAGAUACCCUUGUAGUC